rnacentral:rRNA from 1 species
GACGAACGCUGGCGGCGCGCCUAACACAUGCAAGUCGAACGAGAGAUGAGGAGCUUGCUCUUCGAAUCGAGUGGCGAACGGGUGAGUAACGCGUGAGGAACCUGCCUCAAAGAGGGGGACAACAGUUGGAAACGACUGCUAAUACCGCAUAAGCCCACGGCUCGGCAUCGAGCAGAGGGAAAAGGAGCAAUCCGCUUUGAGAUGGCCUCGCGUCCGAUUAGCUAGUUGGUGAGGUAACGGCCCACCAAGGCGACGAUCGGUAGCCGGACUGAGAGGUUGAACGGCCACAUUGGGACUGAGACACGGCCCAGACUCCUACGGGAGGCAGCAGUGGGGAAUAUUGCACAAUGGGGGAAACCCUGAUGCACCGACGCCGCGCGGAGGAAGAAGGUCUUCGGAUUGUAAACUCCUGUUGUUGAGGAAGAUAAUGACGGUACUCAACAAGGAAGUGACGGCUAACUACGUGCCAGCAGCCGCGGUAAAACGUACGUCACAAGCAUUGUCCGGAAUUACUGGGUGUAAAGGGAGCGCAGGCGGGAGAACAAGUUGGAAGUGAAAUCCAUGGGCUCAACCCAUGAACUGCUUUCAAAACUGUUUUUCUUGAGUAGUGCAGAGGUAGGCGGAAUUCCCGGUGUAGCGGUGGAAUGCGUAGAUAUCGGGAGGAACACCAGUGGCGAAGGCGGCCUACUGGGCACCAACUGACGCUGAGGCUCGAAAGUGUGGGUAGCAAACAGGAUUAGAUACCCUGGUAGUCCACACCGUAAACGAUGAUUACUAGGUGUUGGAGGAUUGACCCCUUCAGUGCCGCAGUUAACACAAUAAGUAAUCCACCUGGGGAGUACGACCGCAAGGUUGAAACUCAAAGGAAUUGACGGGGGCCCGCACAAGCAGUGGAGUAUGUGGUUUAAUUCGACGCAACGCGAAGAACCUUACCAAGUCUUGACAUCCUGCGACGCACAUAGAAAUAUGUGUUUCCUUCGGGACGCAGAGACAGGUGGUGCAUGGUUGUCGUCAGCUCGUGUCGUGAGAUGUUGGGUUAAGUCCCGCAACGAGCGCAACCCUUAUGGUCAGUUACUACGCAAGAGGACUCUGGCCAGACUGCCGUUGACAAAACGGAGGAAGGUGGGGAUGACGUCAAAUCAUCAUGCCCUUUAUGACUUGGGCUACACACGUACUACAAUGGCGUUAAACAAAGAGAAGCAAGACCGCGAGGUGGAGCAAAACUCAGAAACAACGUCCCAGUUCGGACUGCAGGCUGCAACUCGCCUGCACGAAGUCGGAAUUGCUAGUAAUCGUGGAUCAGCAUGCCACGGUGAAUACGUUCCCGGGCCUU